GAGCUCUUCUCCCCACUGUGUGCAGAGGAAAAGGAGCCAGGGAAGACUCAUAUCAAGCAGCUAAAACUGAUUCAGUUUGGAUCAGCCUAGCUCCAGGAUCUCUCUCAGUCCUACUAGAUCUCCAGCACAGCAGGAGAUUAGCCCUUAGGCUACCACACAAGAAGAAUCUAUCUCUGGAGGAGCAUCUCUUAAAAGAACUACUACAAGGUGUUGAGCGGAUUAUGACUGAGGCCUGC